UAAUAUACUAUUUUAGUGUGGAGUGAAUGCCUUGGAAGAAAAAUAUAGGCGCGGACAAUCGCGAAAGUGUUGACACGAGGAAAGCCUGUGACGUCAACCAACCUAAAAUGGGAAACCGGGGCUAAAAAGCCCGCUGCUUAGGCAGUAUCAAGGGGAAGUGAAACAUCUCAGUACCCUGUAGACCAAAUCAACCGAGAUAUCGUUAGUAGUGGUGAGCGAAAGCGAUAAAAAGGCAAAACGAAAAUUUUAUUAUUAAGAAUGAAAAGAAGUUUUGUUUUUCAAUGAAAUUUCUACCUUAGAAGGUGUUAGUCCUGUAAUUCUUUUUUUUUUUCGUGAAAGUAAGACGAGGCAAGUUUACCUUGUCUGAGUAUUGGGGGACCACCCUCAAAGCCUAUAGUUAUUUUUCUUACCGAUAGUGAACAAGUACCGUGAGGGAAAGGUGAAAAAGAAGUUGCGACAGUGCAAAGAUCCUGAAACUCCAUAUUUGAGUCGGAGCUAUAAAAAGCAACGGCAUACCUUUUGUAUAAUGGGCAAGUGAAUCUUAAUAAAGGGCAAGCUUAAGCUAAUAAAAGUGUAGGCGAAGAGAAAUCGAGUCCUAUGUGGCAUCCUAAAGUCCUUUGUUAAGUACCCGAAACCGGCUGAUCUAAACUUGAGCAGGCUGAUAUUGUAGUGGCAACAUUCUUUGGAGGGCCGAACCCGUGUAUGUGGCAAAAUACUGGGAUGACUUGAGUUUAGGGGUGAAAGGCCAAUCAAAGUCGGUGAUAGCUGGAUUUCUGCGAAAUCUAUUGAAGUAGAGCGUCCUAAACAGUAAAUCUGGGGUAGAGCACUGUAUAAGCAAGGGGGAGAUCUUCUCUUACUAAACUUUGGCAAACUCCGAAUACAGAUUUUUCAUUUAGGGCAGACAGAGUAUGUAUGCUAAGAUUCAUACUCAAGAGGGAAACAGCCCAGACUGUAGGCUAAGGUCCACAAAAUAGUUUCAGUGGUAAAGGUGAUAUCUGCUCUGAGACCGUCAGGAGGUAGGCUUGGAAGCAGCCAUCCUUUUAAGACAGCGUAACAGCUCACUGACCUAGAGUAGAAGUCCCGCCAAUUUUGAGGGCUUAAAACUAUUACCGAAGCCUCAGACAAAAAUGUUAAGAUAAUUAAAAACUCUUAUAUUUUGUGGUAGCAGAACAUUCCGUAGGUCGUAGAAGUUUUGACGUAAGUUAAGAUCAAGAUAUCGGAAGCGAGAAUACUUGCAUGAGUAGCAUAAAACAAUGAAAUUAAAGCAUUGUGGCCGUAAGUCCAAGGUUUACGAUCUUAAGUAAAACUGGGUCGUGAGAGGGUAACACCUCGAUUUAAAACGGUCCCUAAGCUGUUAAGCCAAAGCUUGCAGUAAUGGGUAAGAUUAAACUGUUAAAAGUUGCUGACGAAAAAUUCACCUUAUUCUUGAAUUUGUCAAGAGUGAGUUAUUUUUUCCAAGAAAAAGGCACUUUAUUUAUACCGUACCUUAAACCGCCUCAGGUGGACGGGUGGAGAACACUAAGGCCUUGAGAUAACCCUGUUGAAGGAACUCGGCAAAAUGACUCUGUAACUUCGGAAUAAGGAGUAAAGGCAUGUAGCGCAAGCUUUUGUCUUUGUCACAAAAUCGGGGGUGGCGACUGUUUAUUAAAAACACAGGUCUCUGCUAACUCGUAAGAGGAUGUAUAGGGACUGACACCUGCCCGGUGCCGGUAGGUGAAGCUUUGAUGUUUACGCAUUGAGGUCAAACCCCGGUAAACGGCGGCUGUAACUAUGACGGUCCUAAGGUAGCGAAAUUCCUUGUCGGGUAAGUUCCGACCCGCAUGAAUGGUGUAACGACUUCCCCGCUGUCUCCAACAGGGACUCAGUGAAAUUACAUAGGUCGUGAAGAUGCGACCAUCCCACAGCUGGACGGAAAGACCCCGUGCACCUUUACUAUAAGCAAAUAUUGUAGGUCAAAGACUCUAGUGUAGAAUAGGUGGGAGCUUAUGAUUCUUUCUCGUCAGAGUCUGAUGAGGCGAUAGUGAAAUACCACCCCGAGAUCUGUUGGCUUACUAACUAAGGGACAGUGUUUGCUGGGUAGUUUGACUGGGGCGGUCGCCUCCUAAAGAGUAACGGAGGCAUACAAAGGUAGGUUCAUCUCCUUCUAAGGGGAAUUGAGUAUAAUGGUAUAAACCUGCUUGACUGAAAGAAAGACAUUUCGAUCAGAGACGUAAGUCGGUCAUAGUGAUCCGGUGGUUCUUUGUGGAAAGGCCAUCGCGCAAUGGAUAAAAGGUACGCCGGGGAUAACAGGCUAAUGAUCCUCUAGAGCCCCUAUCGACGGGUUCGUUUGGCACCUCGAUGUCGACUCAUCACAUCCUGGAGCUGGAAAAGGUUCCAAGGGUUCGGCUGUUCGCCGACGAAAGUGGUACGUGAGUUGGGUUUAGAACGUCGUGAGACAGUUUGGUCCCUAUCUUCUGUGGGUGUUUGAAAAUUCCGAGGACUAGACCUUAGUACGAGAGGACCGGGAAAACUCGAUCCCUUGUGUUCCGGUUGUUCCCUAAGGGGCAUCGCCGGGUAGCUACAUCGAGAAGAGAUAAUCGACCGUUAGGCGAGAAACUCUCCUCUAGUAAAGUUUUCUAAAGGGGGUGGAAGAUUACCACUUUGAUAGGCGGGAGGUGUAAGAGCUGUAAGGUUUUCAGCUGACCCGUACUAAUCCCUAGAAAAAUAAAAUUAUAUAGUUUUUGC
rnacentral:rRNA from 1 species